rnacentral:tRNA from 1 species
ACGUGUGUGGCGCAAUUGGCAGCGCAGCGCUCUCCAAAAGCGAAGGUUGCAGGUUCGAGUCCUGCCACACGUGCCA